rnacentral:lncRNA from 1 species
GUUGUGCUGGAACUUUCAUGUCCUUGAGUCAGAAAAAAUCUUUCUGAUCAAUGAUAUCGACCCGACUGAGUUCGUUGGGGCCAGUUCUCUGAUCACUCCAGGAUGAAGGAAAGCCCCAAGGAGAAGAAAUGAAAAAAAAUUGGUUCUUCCACCCAUGAAUGGACGAUGAAAGAUCAAAAAUAAAAGACAGACCCUUCCUCAGGUUGAAAAACCACCAACCCUUGGCUUUUGGAUGAUGGAGGACGAAGAAGGCUCAGAAAAGAAAAAGAUGAGGGUUGGUCGGGAUAAGACGACACAAUAAAGCAAAGCUGAAAUUAGCCGAAUAGAGUUUGGAACUAAGUGAGUAGGCCAAAGACGGUAAUAAUCAAGAAGAUUCCGGAUGAACUCUGGAAUCGAAUAUCGAAGAUCGGCUCAAAGGUCCUCUACAUAAAAUGCAACUUGAUUUGGAGGAGAGUUCACCCAACCAUCCGGACCAGGAGCAAAGAGCUGAAAUUGCUCUGGGAUAUGGUACUGUUUUCGAAGUCGAUCGACAUUGGGUCCAGACAAAGAAGAAACUUUCAUCUCUAGAUCCGAAGGAGAAUCAUCGAUCGGAUUCUCCGAUCGACUAUCUUGAGAAAAUGAAGCCUUCGCUUUCUUACCCCUACUUGCCAUUGAAAAUGAUAGAACCUAGAAGAAGAAAAAACCUAAGAGGAAGGGACAAGAACUCGACCUAAGACUAGGAAAUGACGUGAAAAGCAGGGAAAGCUCUCAGCACCCGGGGCAGAACCUUUUGUUGCAGAAGAAAAUGACGAAUGCAAGAGCAGAAGAUCCAAAUAAAAGUGAUAUAAUAUAUAUAGGACCCUUUAACAGUCUGGAUGAAGUUAUUCAAAUUAGGACUUUUUCAUAUUUCGACACGUGGCUACAUCAAAAUCGAUCAUUGAUCGGAUGGUUCGACGCAUCUACCUUCAGAUCACGCCACCUCAUCACUAUCCACGUGAACAAUGUAGAGCCAAUGAUAUCUGGACACGUGGUCGAAAUCAACUAGUCAGAAUCAAAUCGUCCGGAUUCAUCGGACGUCAGACUAUCUUCUUGAAGCGACACUCUAAUGAUGAUCUCACGGUUAUCGAAAUGAUAAAACCGCUGG